CUUUCUGACGAACCAUGAUGUCAUUUAUUUGGUGUUGUGGGGAAUCAGGACUGUUACUUUGAAAAAAUUAGAGUGUUUAAAGCAGGCUCACGCUUGAAUACAUUAGCAUGGAAUAAUGAAAUAGGACGUUUGAUUCUAUUUUGUUGGUUUCUAGGAUCGACGUAAUGAUUAAUAGGGAUAGUUGGGGGCAUUAGUAUUCAAUUGUCAGAGGUGAAAUUCUUGGAUUUAUUGAAGACUAACUACUGCGAAAGCAUUUGCCAAGGAUGUUUUCAUUAAUCAAGAACGAAAGUUAGGGGAUCGAAGACGAUCAGAUACCGUCGUAGUCUUAACCAUAAACUAUGCCGACUAGGGAUCGGAUGAUGUUAAUUUUUUAAUGACUCAUUCGGCGCCUUACG
rnacentral:rRNA from 1 species